rnacentral:misc_RNA from 1 species
AGGCUCUCGUAUCGAUGAAGAACGCAGCGAAAUGCGAUAAGUAAUGUGAAUUGCAGAAUUCAGUGAAUCAUCGAAUCUUUGAACGCACCUUGCACCCUUUGGUAUUCCGAAGGGUAUGCCUGUUUGAGUGUCAUUAAAUUCUCAAGUCAAUCAAGUGUUUACAUUUGAAUGAUUUGGAUUCUGAGGGUUUCUGUUGGCUCUAGUAGUCGACUCCCUUUAAAAGCAUUAGUGGCUUGUCGAUCCCCAUUAUUGGUGUGAUAGCUCUAUCUACAUUUAUAAUGGCAAGAUCAUACAAUGGCAAUAUAGCUGCUUUCAAACAGUCUGGUUUACUAGACAAUUUGAACCAUUUGACCUCAAAUCAGGUAGGACUACCCGCUGA